GACGAACGCUGGCGGCGUGCCUAACACAUGCAAGUCGAACGGAGAGGACAUGAAGUAUUUCGGUACGGAAUGCUCUCUUAGUGGCGAACGGGUGAGUAACACGUGGGCAACCUGCCCCAGACUGGGGGAUAACAUUGUGAAAACAGUGCUAAUACCGCAUGACAGGGUUCCGGGCAUCCGGGACCCUUGAAAGGAGAAAUCCGGUCAGGGAUGGGCCCGCGUCCAAUUAGCUAGUUGGCGGGGUAACGGCCACCAAGGCGACGAUUGGUAGCCGAACUGAGAGGUUGAUCGGCCACAUUGGGACUGAGACACGGCCCAGACUCCUACGGGAGGCAGCAGUGGGGAAUAUUGGGCAAUGGGCGAAAGCCUGACCCAGCGACGCCGCGUGAAGGAUGAAGGUCUUCGGAUUGUAAACUUCUUUGAUCAGGGAAGAAAGAAAUGACGGUACCUGAAAAACAAGCCACGGCUAACUACGUG
rnacentral:rRNA from 1 species